rnacentral:rRNA from 1 species
AACGAACGCUGGCGGCAUGCCUAACACAUGCAAGUCGAACGAGACCUUCGGGUCUAGUGGCGCACGGGUGCGUAACGCGUGGGAACCUGCCCUUAGGUUCGGAAUAACUCCCCGAAAGGGGUGCUAAUACCGGAUAAUGUCUUCGGACCAAAGAUUUAUCGCCUUUGGAUGGGCCCGCGUUGGAUUAGCUAGUUGGUAGGGUAAAAGCCUACCAAGGCGACGAUCCAUAGCUGGUCUGAGAGGAUGAUCAGCCACACUGAGACUGAGACACGGCCCAGACGCCUACGGGAGGCAGCAGUGGGGAAUAUUGGACAAUGGGCGAAAGCCUGAUCCAGCAAUGCCGCGUGAGUGAUGAAGGCCUUAGGGUUGUAAAGCUCUUUUACCCGGGAUGAUAAUGACAGUACCGGGAGAAUAAGCUCCGGCUAACUCCGUG